rnacentral:lncRNA from 1 species
AAAAAUGUUUAAAAUCCAGAAUGUUUCCAUUGUCAUUUUGGUUACCUUAAAAAACUAUCUUUGUAUAUGUACUAGUCAGCUUUCCAUUACUAUAACAAAAACUGAGAUUAUCAACUUUAAAGAAAAAAGGCUCAUUUUGGAUCAUAGUUUGCACUAUUCCAGUCCAUGACUGGUUAGGCCUAUUGCUUUUGGGCAUCUUGGGAUGCAGGCAGCACAUCACCAUGGGAGGACAUGGUAGAGCAAACCUGCUUAUCUCAUGGCCACUAUAUGAAAGAAGAAGAGAAAAUGGUCAGGAACCUACUAUCCUCUUCAAGGACAAGCUCCAAAUGGCCUGAAGACCUCCCACUAGGCCCCUCCUCUUGAACAUUCCAUCAUUCCCCAAUAGUGCCAUGCCAGAGACCAAGUCUUCACCACAAAGACCUUUGGGAGAAACUUAGGCUCCAAACUUCAGCAGAGCGAUAUCCUGCAAAAAUUAAUGGUCAGUGCAGUCAGACUUCCUAAAAUAGUCCAGUUCUCUUGCUUGAGGAUACUAGCACAUUCUGAAAAUCAUUAGAGGCAAUAUUUCACAUGUAGAUGAAUGUGUAAUAAAUGUUAAUCUCAAAUAAUAUGAUAGCCAAAAAUGUAUAAAAUAUAAUUUCCUUCCAAAAUCAUAUAACAUCAUUUUAAAAUAUGGUUUCUAAUAACUGCCAUGUUAAAAAUGUUUCAAAAGAAGAAAAUAGUAUAUAAAGCCAUCAUGCUUAGAACAAAUAAAGCAUACUGUUCACUUUCACAUUAUAUGAGGAUUUGCCUGAGGUUUAGCUAUUUGGGUAGAGUAAAGUGUG